rnacentral:rRNA from 1 species
GGGAUGAGCCCAGCGCCGAAUCCCCGGCCGCAAAGGUCGAGGGAAAUGUGGCGUUCGGGAGUGAGCGUGCCGGGUGAGGGAGGAGCGGCAAGUCCCCCUGACCGGGGCCUGUCCAUAGCGGGUGCGAGGCCCAUAGCCGCCCCGCCCCGCCCGGAUGCGAUCUCCUUGGAGUCGGGUUGCUUGGGAGUGCAGCCCUAAUGGGGUGGUAAACUCCACCUAAGGCUAAAUACCGCCGUGAGACCGAUAGCAAACAAGUACCGUGAGGGAAAGUUGCAAAGAACUUUGAAGAGAGAGUUCAAGAGUACGUGAAACUGCUCAGAGGUAAACGGGUGGGCCCUCGAAAUCCUGUGGGGAGAGGAUUCAGUCUGGCCCGGCGGACGGACCCGCGGAAGCAAGGAAGGGCUUCCCGGGACGGGGCGCCGUCCGCGGGACCGACUUCUGCCGGUCCAGACGCAUUUGACUCUCCCCCGAAGGACGCUGCAGCCGGUCCGGCAGUGCAAGCGCGACGGCCUGAAGGUCGGGAGGAGGCAGGUGGCCGGUGGCUCGCCCCGUUGCGGGCCGCCGGUUGUUAGCCGUCCCGUCAGUGGCUCGUCGCCGGACCGUGGUGUCUAGAAACGUCUCCACACCCCGCGUGUCGGCGGGACGGACCGGGGCAAGGGCCUUCCGUCUGUAUCCGGCCGUCGCGCUCCUCAGGAGCGGGCGGUCGGGCGGCGGGCCCCGUUGGCCUCGGCGGACCCGUCGGGGAUCGGAGGCUGGCAGCGAGUAGGUCGGUCACCCACCCGACCCGUCUUGAAACACGGACCAAGGAGUCUAACAUGUGCGCGAGUCAAUGGGUCUUGAACAGGCCCAGGGGCGCAAUGAAAGCGAAGUCCCGCGCAAAGCGGGACGAGUCGGGAUCCCGGCCCGCCAAGGAGGGUCGGGCGCACCGACGACCCGCCCUGUCCGGCUCGCCGGUUGGGCGGAGUUUGAGCGUACACGUUGGGACCCGAAAGAUGGUGAACUAUGCCCGGGCAGGACGAGGCCAGAGGAAACUCUGGUGGAGGUCCGCAGCGG